rnacentral:rRNA from 1 species
AGAGGAACGUACUNUAUAAUACUGAUAAGUUAGUAGUAGCAUUACUAAGUAAUGAAAGGUAGCAAUACGCUAUAUGAGAGCUUUGCAUCCUAUUAGCUAGUUGGUGGGGUAAAAGCCUACCAAGGCGAUGAUAGGUAGCCGGCCUGAGAGGGUGGACGGCCCACAAGGGGACUGAGAUACGGCCCUUACUCCUACGGGAGGCAGCAGAA